rnacentral:rRNA from 1 species
GUUGAUCCCGCCGGACCUGACUGCUAUCGGAUUGAUACUAAGCCAUGUGAGUCAUUGCAGCAAUGCAAGGCAGACGGCUCAGUAACACGUAGUCAACCUAACCUAUGGACGGGGAUAACCUCGGGAAACUGAGGAUAAUACCCGAUAGAUCAUUAUGCCUGGAAUGGCUUAUGGUCCAAAUGAUUCGUUGCCAUAGGAUGGGACUGCGGCCUAUCAGCUUGUUGGUGAGGUAGUGGCCCACCAAGGCUAUUACAGGUACGGGCUCUGAGAGGAGAAGCCCGGAGAUGGGUACUGAGACACGGACCCAGGUCCUAUGGGGCGCAGCAGGCGAGAAACCUUUGCAAUGUGCGCAAGCACGACAAGGUUAAUCCGAGUGAUUCCUGCUAAAGGAAUCUUUUGUUAGUUGUAAAACCACUGAUGAAUAAGGGGUGGGCAAGUUCUGGUGUCAGCCGCCGCGGUAAAACCAGCACCUCAAGUGGUCAGGAGGAUUAUUGGGCCUAAAGCAU